AGUGAAGUGCCUGAAUUAAAGGGCUAUUGUGAUAGAAUAGAUAAUGUAACCUCCGUUACCAUCACUA
rnacentral:tRNA from 1 species